rnacentral:rRNA from 1 species
GAGUUUGAUCCUGGCUCAGGACGAACGCUGGCGGCGUGCCUAAUACAUGCAAGUUGAGCGCUGAAGGUUGGUACUUGUACCAACUGGAUGAGCAGCGAACGGGUGAGUAACGCGUGGGGAAUCUGCCUUUGAGCGGGGGACAACAUUUGGAAACGAAUGCUAAUACCGCAUAAAAACUUUAAACACAAGUUUUAAGUUUGAAAGAUGCAAUUGCAUCACUCAAAGAUGAUCCCGCGUUGUAUUAGCUAGUUGGUGAGGUAAAGGCUCACCAAGGCGAUGAUACAUAGCCGACCUGAGAGGGUGACCGGCCACAUUGGGACUGAGACACGGCCCAAACUCCUACGGGAGGCAGCAGUAGGGAAUCUUCGGCAAUGGACGAAAGUCUGACCGAGCAACGCCGCGUGAGUGAAGAAGGUUUUCGGAUCGUAAAACUCUGUUGGUAGAGAAGAACGUUGGUGAGAGUGGAAAGCUCAUCAAGUGACGGUAACUACCCAGAAAGGGACGGCUAACUACGUGCCAGCAGCCGCGGUAAUACGUAGGUCCCGAGCGUUGUCCGGAUUUAUUGGGCGUAAAGCGAGCGCAGGUGGUUUAUUAAGUCUGGUGUAAAAGGCAGUGGCUCAACCAUUGUAUGCAUUGGAAACUGGUAGACUUGAGUGCAGGAGAGGAGAGUGGAAUUCCAUGUGUAGCGGUGAAAUGCGUAGAUAUAUGGAGGAACACCGGUGGCGAAAGCGGCUCUCUGGCCUGUAACUGACACUGAGGCUCGAAAGCGUGGGGGAGCAAACAGGAUUAGAUACCCUGGUAGUCCACGCCGUAAACGAUGAGUGCUAGAUGUAGGGAGCUAUAAGUUCUCUGUAUCGCAGCUAACGCAAUAAGCACUCCGCCUGGGGAGUACGACCGCAAGGUUGAAACUCAAAGGAAUUGACGGGGGCCCGCACAAGCGGUGGAGCAUGUGGUUUAAUUCGAAGCAACGCGAAGAACCUUACCAGGUCUUGACAUACUCGUGCUAUUCCUAGAGAUAGGAAGUUCCUUCGGGACACGGGAUACAGGUGGUGCAUGGUUGUCGUCAGCUCGUGUCGUGAGAUGUUGGGUUAAGUCCCGCAACGAGCGCAACCCCUAUUGUUAGUUGCCAUCAUUAAGUUGGGCACUCUAACGAGACUGCCGGUGAUAAACCGGAGGAAGGUGGGGAUGACGUCAAAUCAUCAUGCCCCUUAUGACCUGGGCUACACACGUGCUACAAUGGAUGGUACAACGAGUCGCGAGACAGUGAUGUUUAGCUAAUCUCUUAAAACCAUUCUCAGUUCGGAUUGUAGGCUGCAACUCGCCUACAUGAAGUCGGAAUCGCUAGUAAUCGCGGAUCAGCACGCCGCGGUGAAUACGUUCCCGGGCCUUGUACACACCGCCCGUCACACCACGGGAGUUGGGAGUACCCGAAGUAGGUUGCCUAACCGCAAGGAGGGCGCUUCCUAAGGUAAGACCGAUGACUGGGGUGAAGUCGUAACAAGGUAACCA